AUACGGAGGAUGCGAGCGUUAUCCGGAUUUAUUGGGUUUAAAGGGUGCGUAGGCUGUGCGUUAAGUCAGGGGUGAAAUGCCGUCGCUCAACGACGGAGCUGCCCUUGAUACUGCGUGCUGGAGUACGGAUGCCGUUGGAGGAAUGAGUGGUGUAGCGGUGAAAUGCUUAGAUAUCACUCAGAACACCGAUUGCGAAGGCAUCUGACGAAUCCGUCACUGACGCUGAGGCACGAAAGCGUGGGGAUAGAACAGGAUUAGAUACCCUGGUAUUCCACGCCGUAAACGAUGAUGACUAACCGUCGGCGAUAGACAGCCGGUGGCCAAGCGAAAGCGAUAAGUCAUCCACCUGGGGAGUACGUCGGCAACGAUGAAACUCAAAUGAAUUGACGGGG
rnacentral:rRNA from 1 species